rnacentral:rRNA from 1 species
UACGGGGGAGCAAGCGUUGUUCGGAUUUACUGGGCGUAAAGGGCGCGUAGGCGGCCACCGCAAGUCGACUGUGAAAUCUCCGGGCUUAACCUGGGAAUGGCAUUUGGGACUGCAAGGCUGGAGUGCGGCAGAGGAGACGUGGAAUUCCUGGUGUAGCGGUGAAAUGCGCAGAUAUCAGGAGGAACACCGGUGGCGAAGGCGGGUCUCUGGGCCGACUACUGCGCUGAGGAGCGAA